CACGUAGGGCGCAAGCGUUGUCCGGAAUUAUUGGGCGUAAAGAGCUCGUAGGCGGUCUGUUGCGUCCGCUGUGAAAACUCAGGGCUUAACCCUGAGCCUGCUUCCGAUACGGGCAGACUAGAGGUAUGCAGGGGAGAGCGGAAUUCCUGGUGUAGCGGUGGAAUGCGCAGAUAUCAGGAGGAACACCGGUGGCGAAGGCGGUUCUCUGGGCAGUAACUGACGCUGAGGAGCGAAAGCGUGGGGAGCGAACAGG
rnacentral:rRNA from 1 species